CACGUAGGGCGCAAGCGUUGGCCGGAAUUAUUGGGCGUAAAGAGCUCGUAGGCGGUCUGUUGGGUCCGCUGUGAAAACUCGGGGCUUAACCCCGAGCCUGCAGUGGAUACGGGCAGACUAGAGGUAGGUAGGGGAGAAUGGAAUUCCCGGUGUAGCGGUGAAAUGCGCAGAUAUCGGGAGGAACACCGGUGGCGAAGGCGGUGCUCUGGGCCGUACCUGACGCUGAGGAGCGAAAGCGUGGGGAGCGAACAGG
rnacentral:rRNA from 1 species